AUAUAGAUAAAAUUUUCUUCUUUUUUCUCAUUCUGCGGGCCACCCUGCCUGUGCACUGCUGGGCACGGUCUAUGUGUUUGCCCCACCCUCUAUCGGGUGUCCCCUCUAUCUGCUAUACUCUCCACCCACGGUUCCGUCUGCACAAGUCUUACCCUCUGAGGCGUCUCUGACCAUGAGGAAGCAGGCCAAAUUGCAAGCCUCUGGGACAUCAUGGGUGUUACUGUAGCCCACAUGCCUUGCAAGUGUGGUGCAUAUGUGCAUGGCCAGAAAACGCCUGUCAGGUUGGAUAAAAUUUUUGCCUGUGAGUUCCUAUAGUAGGCUAAAUGGUAGCCCUCAAAAAGAUAAGCUUAUAGCAUAAUUAGAGGCCCGGUGCACAAAAUUUGUGCAUGGGUAGGGUCCCUAGGCCUAGCCAGGGAUCAGGGCCGAUUGGAGCCUUCCUUCCCUGGCUGCCAGCUACUGGCUGGGGCCUUCAUUCUGUGCUGCCCCCUGAUGGUCAGCACACAUCAUAGAGAGUGAUUGAACUCCCAGUCUUCGGGUCAAACUUUGUGUAUUAGCCGCUUAUAUAUAUAUAGAUUCCUAGAACAUGUGAAUGUUCUGUUAUUUUGUUUAAAGGGGUCUUUGUAGAUAUAAUUAAGGAUUUUGAGAUGAGGUUAUCCUGGAUUUUCCAGAUAGGCCCUAAAUCUACUGACAGUUGUCUUUAUAAGAGACACAGAAAAGAAGAGGAGGCAAUAUGACCAUGGAUACAGAAAUUGGCGUGAUGCAGUCACAACCCAGGAAUGCUGAUAGCCACUAGGAACUGAAAAAGGCAAAGAACAUAAUCUCUAGAGCCUCUGGAAGGGGUUUGGUCCUCCCAAAAACAUGUUGAUUUGGGUUUCUGGCCUCCAGAAUUAUGAGAAAAUAUUUCUCAUUUUAUGCCACCAAAUUGUGGUAAUUUAUAAAACCAGCCAUCAGAGACUAAUAUGGUACUUUUGUCCUCUGGAGUAAAACAGGUGUUCUGUUUUAGAACUAGUCAUUGCUUAAAUGACUUAAGAAGAAUGCUAGCUAUAUUCAUUUUCUAAUGCUAACCUUAUUGAAUUAAAACAAUAUACAUUCAAGACAGGCUGUGCCCAGAUCAAAAUGACAGAGUAUGUAAGCUCUGUGCUCACCUCCUGCCAUAAUCACAUCAAAAUUACAACUAAAUUAUAGAACAACCAUCACUGAGAACACUUAAAGACUAGCUGAACAGAAUUCCUAUAACUAAGGAUAUAAAGAAGAAGACAUGUUGAGACUGAUGGGAAGGGUUUAGAUGUGGACCAGGCAGGUCUUACAACCGUCAGCACACCUUGUAGCUCUUGCUAAGCGGCCCUAUCCCAACACAAGUGACAUCCAGUCUCAACUUGCAUGGGUAGGGCAUGUAGCACUUUUAUCAGGUGCUACAUAGUGGCAGCCAGUUGUGGCCUGUAACAUAACUUCAACUAAUUGGUCACAAGCCUAGCACAAGUGACAGGUGGCCUCAGUUCACAUUGUACCCACCAAAGGGUUCAAGAAUGACACAAGUAGCAUUCAGUAUCGGUUUGCAGUGUAGCCUCUUCCAAGUGCCUCCUAACCCAGCGAAAGCGACAACCAACUGCAGAUCACUUGCAGCUUUUACCAAGAGGUCCCAAGCCUGGCAUAAGCUGACCUUGGCCUGCACCAGAGCCCCUCCCAAGAGGCUCCAGGACCAACAAACCUGAUGGCUGACUUCAGACCACAUUAGAGUACCACCUAACCAGCUCCACAAAUGAGACACCCAAAGGACAGACUCAGCUGGCACCAGAGACCUGCUAAAGCAACUUCUGCUCUAUGGGGUCAGCCCCAAACAACAGCUUGUCUACUGUAGUCCCGGCCAGCCCGCAUAGCCAGUUAGCAUGAGGAUCAGCCCCACCCACUGACAUGCCAACAGCAGUUGAAGCUCAACUACAAGAGGAGGCCAUACAUGACCCACCUGGCUCAGGUGACCAGGGAGACUGUGUCAGUGAGCUCCACAGAACACCUACAUAAAGCCACUCUGUCAAUACCGGGAGACAUAGCAACUCUACCUAAUACAUAGUAAUAAGCAAAGGGAGUCAGGCAAAAUGACACAAGGACCAUGCUCCAAGUAUGGGACAAAACUCCAAAAAAAGAACUAAAAAAGGAAACAAGGAAUCUACCAGGUACAGAGUUUAAAACACUAGUUAUAAGGAUGCCCAAUGAACUUAAGAAUAGAUGAACUGAGUGAAAACAACCAGUCAGAAAGGAAAAAUGCAAUGAUUAAAAUGAUGAAUUUAUUAAAGGGAAUCAGCAGAUUAUAUGAAACAGGAUUGAAUCAUCAGUCUGGAAGGCUAGGUAGUGGAAAAAAUCCAACAGGACAGCAAAAAGAAAAUAAUUUUAAAAUAAGGAUAGUUUAAGGUACCUCUGGGAGAACAUCAAGUGUUACAAGAUUCAUAUCGUAGGGGUACCAGAAGAGAGAGUAAAGGAAUUGUAAACCUAAUUGAAGAAAUAAUGACUGAAAACUUCCCUAACCUGGGGGAAGAAAUAGACAAGUCCAAGAAGCUUAGAGUCCCAAAGAAGAUGAACCCAGAGGUCCACACCAAGACACAGCAUAAUUAAAAUGGCAAAGGUUAAAUACAAAGAAAGAAUCUUAAAAGCGAUAAAAGAAAAGCAGUUAGUUGCCUACAAGGGAGCCCCCAUAAUACUAUCAGUUGAUUUCUCAGCAGAAACAUUGCAAGCCAGAGGAAAUAUUCAAAGUGAUGAAGAGCAAGGACCUACAACCAAGAUUACCCAGCAAAGCUAUCAUUUAGAAUUAAAGAAAAGAUCAACUGUUUCCCAAGCAAGAAAAAGCUAAAGAAGCUCAUCACUACCAAACUAGAAUUACAAGGAAUGCUGAAGGGUCUGCUUAAAUAAAAAUAAAACCAAACAGUACACAAGUGCCUCAGAAUAAAAAUAGAAUUAUCAUAUGACCCAGUAAUUUCACUUCUAGAUAUUUACCUGAAGAAAUCCAAAACACUAAUUCAAAGAGGUAUAUGUACCCCUAUAUUCAUUGCAGUAUUAUUUACAAUAGUCAAAAUAUGGAAACAAUCUCAGUGCUCACCAAUAGAUGAGUAGAUAAAGAAGAUGUGGCAUAUAUACAAUGGAAUAUUACUCGGCCAUGAAUAAGAAAAUCUUAUAUUUGUGACAAUAUAGAUGGACCUAGAGGAUAUUAUGCUAAGUGAAAAAAGUGAGAAAGAAACACAUAAUUUUGCUUAUAUGUAGAAUCCAAAAAACAAAAUAAAAAAUAUGAACAAAUGAAACAGAAGCAAACAUAUUGAAAGACCAUAUUGAUGGUUGCCAGAAGGGAGGGGAGUUGGAAUGGUUGAAAAAGGUAUCAAGAAAUACAAAUUGUCAGUAAUAAUCAUGAGUAUGUAAAGUACAGCUCAGGGAAUAUAGUUAAUAAUAUGUUAUAACUAUGUAUGGUGUCUGAAGGGUACUAGACUUUCUGGGGUGAUCACCUCGUAAUGUAUGUAAAUGUCUAAUCAUUGUACAUCUGAAACUAAUGUAAUAUUGUAUGUUAACUGUAAUUGAAAAAUAAUUAUUUUUUAAAAAGAGGGGAUUUCUGACCCAUGCCACAAUAUGGGUGAACCUUGAACACAUUAUGCUCAGGGAAAGAAGCCAGAUAGUAUAUAAUUUCACUUGCAUGAGGUACCUGAAAUAGUCAAAUUUGUGAAAAACAGUAAGUAAAAUGAUGGUUCCCAGGAGCUGGGGGUGGGAAUGGGAGUUAUUUAAUGGAUAUAGAAUUUCUGUUUUGCAGGAUGAAAAGAUUUCUGUAGAUGGGUGGUGGUGAUAGUGCACAACAAUGUAUGGCAUACUGCAUACAGAAAACCCUAAGGAUUCCACCAAAAAUCUGCAGGAUAAACAGACUGUGACAAGGGCUGUGAAGAGAUGACACUGGGCAGUGGAUUGCAGCGGCCUGGGUUUGUGCCAGGGCCUCACUGAUCAGCAGAAACCAGUCGUGCAGUCCCAGGUGGUGGGGAUGGAAGCACAGAGUACUUGAGGUGCCUGAGAGAUCGUCCAGUGGUGCUGACUGGGGCCUGCUACUAAGUGAAGCCAGAAGGACAUCUAUGGCAUUUAGGAAGAGGGCACUAGGCCCACAGCCUGUGACAGAAGGCAGAGGAGCAGCUGGAAAGCGUUUCCACCAGGGAAGCUCUGGUGCUGUAAUAGAAAUCAGGUUUAUGUUCUCAUUAAACUCGAGCAACCAUAUCAUAUCUGCAUUUAACUUUGCCAGCGAUCAAGCUCUAGGCCUGAAUGAAACCAAAAAAUAAAAAGUGCAUUUUUUAAAAAGUCAUUUUAUUGUUUGUUGUCCCUACAGCAACUCUCCUCUGAUUUAAAAUCAAGAUUUCCAUGAAAUGUGAUCCUUAUGUUUCUGAUUCAUUUACUGAUCAACUAAUGAUAGUAAAAAUGGCUUUGAAAUGACAACAUUUAGCACAAAGUU